GUUUGCUUUGGCAGUACAUACACUAAAGUUGGAAUGACACAGAGGUUAGCAUGGCCCCUGCACAAGGAUGGCAAGCAAAUUUGUGAAGUGUUCCAUAUUUUU